rnacentral:rRNA from 1 species
CCAGCAAUUUGGAAGAAUGUAUAGCAAUAGCUAGUUGCAUAAUACUGUGCAAUAUUGAUUAUAUCAAAUAAAGUUCUGAGUAAAUCUAGAUGAUGACUUAAUUUACUCACGUGUCUUGACUAAAAUGCGUGCCAGCAGUCGCGGUAAGACGUAUAAGACUAGUGUUAUUCAUCUUUAGCAGGUUUAAAGGGUACUUAGACGGUAAAUCAAGCCAUAGUAGGGACUAGUUUACUAGAGUUACUUAUAAAGGGGCUUUAAAGUACUAAUGGAGUAGAGAUAAAAUGCUAGUAUACCUUUUUUUGUAAAAAAAACAAUGGCACUGAUAAAGGCGAAGGCAUCCCCUUAUGUGAUAACUGACGUUAAAGGACGAAGGCUUUGUGUUACGAACAGGAUUAGAUACCCUAGUAGUCGAAGCAGAGAAUGAUGAGUGUUAUAGAUUGGAAUAAGUUUAAUCUAUAAAUGAAAGUGUAAGCACUCCACCUUAAGAGUAAUGUGGCAACACCGAAAUUGAAAUCAUUAGACCGUUUCUGACNNNNNNNNNNNNNNNNNNNNNNUAAUUUGAUGAUCCGCAAAAAACCUUACCACAACUUGAAUAUUUAUAUUUUAAUAUAUUUACAAGCGUUGCACGGCUGUCUUAAGUUAAUGUCGUGAGAAUUUGGUUAGCUCCUUUAAAUUGACGUAAACCCUCGUUUUAUUUUUAUAUAGAACGGUUCACCGUUAUAUUGGAUAUGAUAAAAGGGAAGAAGACAAGUC